UACGUAGGGUGCGAGCGUUGUCCGGAAUUAUUGGGCGUAAAGAGCUCGUAGGCGGUUUGUUGCGUCUAUCGUGAAAACCUGCAGCUUAACUGUGGGCUUGCGGUGGAUACGGGCAGACUUGAGUUCGGUAGGGGAGACUGGAAUUCCUGGUGUAGCGGUGAAAUGCGCAGAUAUCAGGAGGAACACCGAUGGCGAAGGCAGGUCUCUGGGCCGAUACUGACGCUGAGGAGCGAAAGCGUGGGGAGCGAACAGG
rnacentral:rRNA from 1 species